UAUAAUCUAAAAAGAGUGCUGCUAAUUUCUCAAUACUUAUUUAAACAUUUAGCAACUGACGAAACUUUGCCUCGUUGGCCGCAAUGGCGGAGGAGGACGAAAGGGAAGGGCUCUUCGUCUAGAAUUUCAGUGGAUUAAGUAAGGAGAGAAGGAGAGAUGGUAAUCGAUUUUUCUUUUUUUUUUUUCUUUUCUGUUUGUAAUCGGGCCGAAUGGGCUGGGUGGGGUGGAUAGAGUAGAGUAGCCUUUUAUUUUUGGUUGGAUUGGGCUUUUUAUUUUGGCAUUAGUAGAUUUUUUUAAAAAUUUUGGUAUAAAUGGGACACUUACACAAAAGUGUCCCAAACAUGUGUCGUUAUAACCUAAUUCUAUUGUAGUGGUUUAAGCAUUUUGGGCCGAUGGUUUGGCCCAACAAGUUAUUAUUGUUGGCGGGUUUGGUCGUUAAGUGCUGUGAGCCAUCUCUAGAAUCUCACAUCGAUUGGUAAUUCUGGUCUGUCUGCCUGUGAUCUGAUUGGACCCGAUGAGAACGUCAAGGUCUAAACAGGGAGAACUUGUAAUGCCCCAAUAUAUACAAAAUUUAUAUGACGUUGGGGUCUAAGUAUUUUGGGCCGAGUUAUUGUUGCUAGCAGGUCGGAUCGUUGCAAUAAAUACAAAAUUUAUAUGCUUUAACAUUAAAUUGUUUAAACAUUAUAAAACACAUCCAUAAAUUUAAGAAAAAACUUCAAAAACCCCCCUAUGGUUUCGUAGUUUCUCACUUUGCCCCCUUGUGGUUUAAAAUAUAUCAAUUUGCCCCAUGUGGUUUCUUUUUUCUCUUUUUCUUAUCAAUUUUAUUAUUUUUUUUCUUAAAUCAGUGAUAAAGUUAAAAUUAAAUGGUACUAAAGUGAAUAUUUGAUAAAUCUAGAUGGGUAUCUGAAGUUUUUUGUAUAUAAUUUAAUGAAAUAUUAACGAAAAAGCUACCGAAAAGAUAAAAACCAAACCAUAGGGGGGCAAAUUGAAACAUUUUAAAUCACAGAGGGGCAAAGUGAGAAACUACGAAACCAUAGGGGGGUGUUUUUGAAGUUUUCCCUAAAUUU
rnacentral:lncRNA from 1 species